rnacentral:rRNA from 1 species
GUCCACACUGUAACGAUGAUUACUAGGUGUUGGAGGAUUGACCCUUCAGUGCCGCAGUUAACACAAUAAGUAAUCCACCUGGGAGUACGACCGCAAGGUUGAACUCAAAGGAAUUGACGGGCCCGCACAAGCAGUGGAGUAUGUGGUUAAUUCGACGCAACGCGAAGAACCUUACCAAGUCUUGACAUCCUGCGACGGUGCUGGAAACAGUACUUUCCUUCGGGACGCAGAGACAGGUGGUGCAUGGUUGUCGU